rnacentral:rRNA from 1 species
AUUGAACGCUGGCGGCAGGCCUAACACAUGCAAGUCGAACGGUAACAGGAAGAAGCUUGCUUCUUUGCUGACGAGUGGCGGACGGGUGAGUAAUGUCUGGGAAACUGCCUGAUGGAGGGGGAUAACUACUGGAAACGGUAGCUAAUACCGCAUAACGUCGCAAGACCAAAGAGGGGGACCUUCGGGCCUCUUGCCAUCGGAUGUGCCCAGAUGGGAUUAGCUAGGAGGUGGGGUAACGGCUCACCUAGGCGACGAUCCCUAGCUGGUCUGAGAGGAUGACCAGCCACACUGAACUGAGACACGGUCCAGACUCCUACGGGAGGCAGCAGUGGGGAAUAUUGCACAAUGGGCGCAAGCCUGAUGCAGCCAUGCCGCGUGUAUGAAGAAGGCCUUCGGGUUGUAAAGUACUUUCAGCGGGGAGGAAGGGAGUAAAGUUAAUACCUUUGCUCAUUGACGUUACCCGCAGAAGAAGCACCGGCUAACUCCGUG